GACGAAGGAUGCAAGCGCUAUCCGGAUUCAUUGGGUUUAAAGGGAGCGUAGGUGGCCUUAUAAGUCAGUGGUGAAAUCUCUGGGCUUAACCCAGAAAUUGCCAUUGAUACUGUAGGGCUAGAGUACGGAAGAGGCGAGUGGAAUUCCUGGUGUAGCGGUGGAAUGCGCAGAUAUCAGGAGGAACACCAAUAGCGAAGGCAGCUCGCUGGGACGUUACUGACACUGAGGCGCGAAAGCGUGGGGAGCGAACAGG
rnacentral:rRNA from 1 species